CACCACCAGGGGUGGAGCCUGCGGCUUAAUUUGACUCGACACGGGGAAACUCACCAGGUCCAGACACAAUGAGGAUUGACAGAUUGAGAGCUCUUUCUUGAUUUUGUGGGUGGUGGUGCAUGGCCGUUCUUAGUUGGUGGAGUGAUUUGUCUGCUUAAUUGCGAUAACGAACGAGACCAUAACCUGCUAAAUAGCCCGUAUUGCUUUGGCAGUACGCUGGCUUCUUAGAGGGACUAUCGGCUCAAGCCGAUGGAAGUUUGAGGCAAUAACAGGUCUGUGAUGCCCUUAGAUGUUCUGGGCCGCACGCGCGCUACACUGACGGAGCCAGCGAGUACUUCCUUGUCCGAAAGGUCCGGGUAAUCUUGUUAAACUCUGUCGUGC
rnacentral:rRNA from 1 species